rnacentral:rRNA from 1 species
AUGGCUCAGGAUGAACGCUGGCGGCGUGCCUAACACAUGCAAGUCGAGCGGAGUCAUAUGUUGAUUCUUCGGAUGAUUUAUAUGACUUAGCGGCGGAUGGGUGAGUAACACGUGGGUAAUCUGCCCUGCACUGGGGGAUAACAGUUGGAAACGACUGUUAAUACCGCAUAUGCACACGGGGCCGCAUGGUCCUGGGUGGAAAGAUUCAUCGGUGCAGGAUGAGCCCGCGUCGGAUUAACUAGUUGGCAGGGUAACGGCCUACCAAGGUGAUGAUCCGUAGCCGGCCUGAGAGGGCGACCGGCCACAUUGGGACUGAGACACGGCCCAAACUCCUACGGGAGGCAGCAGUGGGGAAUAUUGCACAAUGGGCGCAAGCCUGAUGCAGCGACGCCGCGUGAAGGAAGAAGUAUUUCGGUAUGUAAACUUCUAUCAGCGGGGAAGAAGAUGACGGUACCCGACUAAGAAGCCCCGGCUAACUACGUGCCAGCAGCAGC